rnacentral:rRNA from 1 species
AAUGAACGCUAGCGGCAUGCUUUAUACAUGCAAGUCGAGCGGCCGGACGAGCUUCUGUCUUCCCUGGUGUUACCGACGGGUGGGUGAGUAAUCCGUGGGUACCCAAUCUAUGGGACUGGGAUCGCUUCGGCGUACCGAAUACAGUACAGGCUGAACGUUUGAAACCCAUGGAUCAAAAGUGAUAGAAGGUCUGGAUGGCACGUAUAGAUGGAUCCGCGCUGCAUUAGCUAGUUGGUAAGGUAACGGCUUACCAAGGCAACGAUGCGUAGCCGACCUGAGAGGGUGACCGGCCACACUGGAACUGAGACACGGUCCAGACUCCUACGGGAGGCAGCAGUAGGGAAUCUUGCGCAAUGGGCGAAAGCCUGACGCAGCAAUGCCGCGUGAGUGAUGAAGGUCUUCGGGUUGUAAAACUCUUUUGUUAGGGAAGAAACGAUGUGUAAUAAUCUGUGGAGAUCUUGACGGUACCUGAUCAGAAAGCCCCGGCUAACUACGUG